ensembl:lncRNA
CUAUGGGGCACAGCUCAGCACCACCCAAUGACGUCACUCUGCCCAAUGACGUCAGCAGCCAAUGACGUCAGCCCCACCCGAUGACGUCACACGGCCCGAUGACGUCACCGCCCAAUGACAGCCGCCCCGCCCGAUGACGUCAGCAGCAUCCAACGGCAUCAGCCCCGCCCUAUGGCGUCAGCAGCCAAUGACGUCACCCCCUCCCAAUGACGUCAGCCCCUCCCGAUGACGUCAGCCCCUCCCAAUGACGUCACCACCCAAUGACGUCAGCCCCGCCCCGAUGACGUCAGCAGCAGCCAAUGGCAUCAGCCCCACCCGAUGACGUCAGCAGCCAUUGAUGGCCGCCCCCGCCCGAUGACGUCACCCCACCCGAUGACGUCAGCACCACCCGAUGACGUCAGCAGCAGCCAAUGGCAGCAGCCCCGCCCAAUGACGUCAUCCCGCCCAAUGACGUCAGCGCCGCCCGAUGCCGUCACCGCCCAAUGACGUCACCACCCGAUGACGUCAGCAGCAGCCAAUGACGUCACCCCGCGCCAUGACGUCACAGCGGCACUUCCGUUUAUUACAAGCGAUCGUUUGGCCCCAAAUCCGCCCCUCCCCCCCACACCUCCGCCCCACAGCGCCGCCGCAGCCAUUCAGUGGGGCAGGACACCACUUGUGGGGCAGAGACUCACUUAUGGGGCAGAUCCCACUUAUGGGGCAGAGACUCACUUGUGGGUCACUGUCACACUUAUGGGUCACUGUCACACUUAUGGGUCGCAGCUCCACUUGUGGGUCGCAGCUCCACUUGUGGGUCAGUCCGUGGGUCCGUCCGUGUCUUCCUUUAUGGGCCCACAUCCACUUGUGGGGCAGCGCUAUGGGGCAGAGCUUCACUUAUGGGGCACGGUCCCACUUGUGGGGCAGACCCCCACUUAUGGGGCAGGGCUCAACUUAUGGGUCAGUCCGUGUGGGUCGCGGCCCCACUUAUGGGUCGCAGCUCCACUUGUGGGUCGGAUCCCAGUUGUGGGGCAGAGCCGCACUUAUGGGACAGAGCUCCACUUGUGGGGCAGGGCUCAACUUAUGGGUCGCAGCUCCACUUGUGGGUCAGUGCGUGGGUCCAUCCAUGUCCUCCCGUGGGUCCACAUCCACUUGUGGGGCAGAGCUAUGGGGCAGAGCUUCACUUGUGGGUCAGAGCUCCACUUGUGGGUCAGAGCUCCACUUAUGGGUCAGUCCGUGGGUCCGUCCGUGUUUUCAUUUCUGGGCCCACAUCCACUUGUGGGGCAGAGCCACGGAGUGCAGCUAUGGGGCAGCGCUAUGGGGCAGGGUCCCACUUGUGGGGCAGGGCUUCACUUAUGGGUCAGAGCUUCACGUACUUCUGGGGCAGCGCCCCACUUAGGGGUCACGGUCCCACUUAUGGGUCAGUCUGUAUGGGGUGGCGCUGUGGGGCAGAGCCAUGGAGGGUCGCUAUGGGGCAGAGCCCCACUUAUGGGGCAGAGCGUCACUUAUGGGUCUGAGCCCCACUUGUGGGUCAGUCUUUGUGGGUUAAUGCCCUACUUAUGGGUCAGAUCCCACUUAUGGGUCACAGCCCCACUUGUGGGGCAGAGCCCCACUUAUGGGGCAGAGCCUCACUUGUGGGUCAGUCUGUGUGGGUCAAAGCCCCACUUAUGGGGCAGAGCCCCACUUAUGGGUCUGUGUGGGUUAAUGCCCUACUUAUGGGGCAGAGCCCCACUUAUGGGUCUGUGUGGGUCACAGCCCUACUUAUGGGGCAGAGCCCCACUUAUGGGUCAGUCUGUGGGGGGUGAUGCUGUGGGGCAGCGUCAUGGAGUGUUGCUAUGGGGCAGAACUGUGGGGCAGGGCACAACUUAUGGGGCAGAGCUCCACUUAUGGGGCAGAGCCUUACUUAUGGGUCAGUCUGUGUGGGUCACAGCCUUACUUAUGGGUCAGGGCCCCAUUUGUGGGUCAAAGCCCCACUUGUGGGGCAGAGACCCGCUUAUGGGGCAAAGCCUCACUUAUGGGGCAGAGCCCCACUUAUGGGUCAGUCUGUGUGGGUCAGAGCCUCACUUAUGGGGCAGAGCCCCACUUGUGGGUCAGUCUGUGUGGGUCAGAGCCCCACUUAUGGGGCAGAGCCCACUUAUGGGUCAGUCUGUGUGGAUUAAUGCCCUACUUAUGGGGCACAGCCCCACUUGUGGGUCUGCGUGGGUCAGAACCUCACUUAUGGGGCAGAGCCGCACUUAUGGGUCACAGCCCCACUUAUGGGUCACAGCCCCACUUAUGGGGCAGAGCCCCACUUAUGGGUCUGAGCCUCACUUGUGGGUCAGUCUGUGUGGGUUAAUGCCCUACUUAUGGGUCAGAUCCCACUUGUGGGUCAGAUCCCACUUAUGGGUCAGGGCCCCACUUAUGGGUCACAGCCCCACUUAUGGGGCAGAGCUCCACUUGUGGGUCACACCUCCAUUUAUGGGUCACAGCCCCUGUGACCUAUGGGGCAAAGGCUGACCUAUGGGGCAGAGACGCAGCUAUGGGGCAGAGAUCCUCAUCUAUGGGGCGGAGACCCAUCUAUGGGGCAGAGACCCUCAUCUAUGGGGCAGAGAUCCUCAUCUAUGGGGUGGAGGCUCUGACCUGC